rnacentral:rRNA from 1 species
UACGGAGGAUGCAAGCGUUGUCCGGAAUGAUUGGGCGUAAAGGGUCCGCAGGUGGCAAUGUAAGUCUGCUGUCAAAGAAUGAGGCUUAACCUCAUCAAGGCAGUGGAAACUACAUAGCUAGAGUACGGUCGGGGUAGAAGGAAUUCCUGGUGUAGCGGUGAAAUGCGUAGAGAUCAGGAAGAACACCGGUGGCGAAAGCGUUCUGCUAGACCUGUACUGACACUGAGGGACGAAAGCUAGGGGAGCGAAUGGG